rnacentral:rRNA from 1 species
GUCGAGAAUCAUUCGCAAUGGGCGAAAGCCUGACGGUGCGACGCCGCGUGGAGGAUGAAGGUCCUAGGAUUGUAAACUCCUGUCAUCAGGGAGUAAAGCUCAGGUGUUAAUAGCGCCUUGAGCCUGAUAGUACCUGAAGAGGAAGGGGCGGCUAACUCCGUGCCAGCAGCCGCGGUAACACGGAGGCCCCAAGCGUUGUUCGGAAUUACUGGGCGUAAAGGGUGCGUAGGCGGCGGGGUAAGUCAGAUGUGAAAGCCCGGGGCUCAACCCCGGAAUUGCAUCCGAUACUGCCUUGCUUGAGGAUUGGAGAGGAGACUGGAAUUCACGGUGUAGCAGUGAAAUGCGUGGAUAUCGUGAGGAAGGCCAAUGGCGAAGGCAGGUCUCUGGACAAUUCCUGACGCUGAGGCACGAAGGCCAGGGGAGCAAAAAGGAUUAGAUACCCCAGUAGUCC